GGAGCAACAGCUUUGCGUGAAGCGGGUCAGGGGAGGAAUCCAGCAGCCCUAAGCGAUGUAAGCUGUGUGCUCU
rnacentral:SRP_RNA from 17 species